UACGUAGGUGGCAAGCGUUGUCCGGAUUUACUGGGCGUAAAGAGCGCGCAGGCGGUCGUCCAAGUCGCGUGUGAAAGCCCCCGGCUCAACUGGGGAGGGUCACUCGAUACUGAUCGACUCGAAGGCAGGAGAGGGAAGCGGAAUUCCCGGUGUAGCGGUGAAAUGCGUAGAUAUCGGGAGGAAUACCUAUGGCGAAGGCAGGUUACUGGGCCAUCACUGACGCUGAGCUGCGAAAGCUAGGGGAGCAAACAGG
rnacentral:rRNA from 1 species